CGCGUAGGCGGCUUUGGUUUGUCGCGUGUGAAAGCCCCGGGCUCAACCUGGGAGGUGCGCGCGAGACGGCCGGGCUGGAGUUCGGGAGAGGAGCGUGGAAUUCCCAGUGUAGAGGUGAAAUUCGUAGAUAUUGGGAAGAACACCGGUGGCGAAGGCGGCGCUCUGGACCGAGACUGACGCUGAGGCGCGAAGGCGUGGGGAGCAAACAGGAUUAGAUACCCUGGUAGUCCACGCUGUAAACGAUGUGUGCCAGACGUUGGGAGGCGCAGCCUCUCGGUGUCGCAGCUAACCGCGGUAAGCACACCGCCUGGGGAGUACGGCCGCAAGGUUAAA
rnacentral:rRNA from 1 species